rnacentral:rRNA from 1 species
GAUGAACGCUGGCGGCGUGCCUAAUACAUGCAAGUCGAGCGAACAGACGAGGAGCUUACUCCUCUGACGUUAGCGGCGGACGGGUGAGUAACACGUGGAUAACCUACCUAUAAGACUGGGAUAACUUCGGGAAACCGGAGCUAAUACCGGAUAACAUGUUGAACCGCAUGGUUCAACAGUGAAAGACGGUCUUGCUGUCACUUAUAGAUGGAUCCGCGUCGCAUUAGCUAGUUGGUAAGGUAACGGCUUACCAAGGCAACGAUGCGUAGCCGACCUGAGAGGGUGAUCGGCCACACGGGAACUGAGACACGGUCCAGACUCCUACGGGGGGCAGCAGUAGGGAAUCUUCCGCAAUGGGCGAAAGCCUGACGGAGCAACGCCGCGUGAGUGAAGAAGGUCUGCGGAUCGUAAAACUCUGUUAUUAGGGAAGAACAAAUGUGUAAGUAACAAUGCACGUCUUGACGGUACCUAAUCAGAAAGCCACGGCUAACUACGU